UUUUUUUCCUUAGUUUUUACUUUUUUUGAUUUUAUUUUAAAUUUUUUAUUUUUGUUUUUGUAAAAAGUUUUGAUUUUUUUUUGUUUUUUUUAAGAAUAUAAGAUUUUUUUUUUUGAACUGGAUUAGUACCCAGGUAAUGAAAAGUUAUUAAUUCGGGAGUAAAUUUGUAUUUAAACCGAAAAAUUAUUGACUGACUUUAAAUUUUUUUUUGGAAUAUGUAAUUUUGGGAUAGUCCUCCUUUUUAGAUUUUAUUUUUUAUACAUGUAUGAUUGUUGUAUUUUUAUAUUUUGUGUUUUUUUUUGUUGUUUUAGGCAGAUAUAUAUUUGGUUUAUGUGAAGUUUUAUUAUGUGUUACUAUUUUUAGUAUUUUGGAUAGGGUUUUAAAAUUCUUUUGAAAUGGAAAAAAAAAGAAAGGUCUUUUUAUGGGAAAAAAAAU
rnacentral:rRNA from 1 species